AUUGAACGCUGGCGGCAGGCUUAACACAUGCAAGUCGAGCGGAGAGAGGUAGCUUGCUACCGAUCUUAGCGGCGGACGGGUGAGUAAUGCUUAGGAAUCUGCCUAUUAGUGGGGGACAACAUUUCGAAAGGAAUGCUAAUACCGCAUACGUCCUACGGGAGAAAGCAGGGGAUCUUCGGACCUUGCGCUAAUAGAUGAGCCUAAGUCGGAUUAGCUAGUUGGUGGGGUAAAGGCCUACCAAGGCGACGAUCUGUAGCGGGUCUGAGAGGAUGAUCCGCCACACUGGGACUGAGACACGGCCCAGACUCCUACGGGAGGCAGCAGUGGGGAAUAUUGGACAAUGGGCGCAAGCCUGAUCCAGCCAUGCCGCGUGUGUGAAGAAGGCCUUAUGGUUGUAAAGCACUUUAAGCGAGGAGGAGGCUACUUUAGUUAAUACCUAGAGAUAGUGGACGUUACUCGCAGAAUAAGCACCGGCUAACUCUGUGCCAGCCGCCGCCGUAAAAC
rnacentral:rRNA from 1 species